UAACGAAUAUUGGGCAAUGGGCGCAAGCCUGACCCAGCAAUGCCGCGUGCGGGAAGAAGUCCCUAGGGAUGUAAACCGCUUUUGGGGUCUAACAAGCAAUUCGGGUGAACAAUCCGGAAAGUUGAGUCGACCCAGAAAAAGCCUCGGCUAACUCUGUGCCAGCAGCCGCGGUAAUACAGAGGAGGCAAGCGUUGUUCGGAAUCAUUGGGCUUAAAGGGCGUGUAGGCGGCGGCGCAAGCGUCGAGUGAAAUCUCACCGCUCAACGGUGAAACUGCUCGGCGAACUGCGUCGCUUGAGGUCGGUAGAGGUGCCUGGAACUCUAGGUGGAGCGGUGAAAUGCGUAGAUAUCUAGAGGAACGCCAGAGGCGAAAGCGGGGCACUGGGCCGAUUCUGACGCUGAGGUGCGAAAGCGUGGGGAGCAAACAGGAUUAGAUACCCAUGUAGUCCCUGAGCGGGCUGGCAAGGCGCAU
rnacentral:rRNA from 1 species